rnacentral:rRNA from 1 species
AUUGAACGCUGGCGGUAUGCUUUACACAUGCAAGUCGAACGGCAGCACGGGGCAACCUGGUGGCGAGUGGCGAACGGGUGAGUAACAUAUCGGAACAUGUCCGGAAGUGGGGGAUAACGUAGCGAAAGUUACGCUAAUACCGCAUAUGCCCCGAGGGGGAAAGGGGGGGAUCGCAAGACCUCUCGCUUUCGGAGUGGCCGAUAUCGGAUUAGCUAGUAGGUGGGGUAAAGGCCCACCUAGGCGACGAUCCGUAGCUGGUCUGAGAGGACGACCAGCCACACUGGAACUGAGACACAGUCCAGACUCCUACGGGAGGCAGCAGUGGGGAAUUUUGGACAAUGGGCGCAAGCCUGAUCCAGCCAUACCGCGUGAGUGAAGAAGGCCUUCGGGUUGUAAAGCUCUUUCAGACGGAAAGAAACGGUCGCGGCGAAUACCCGCGACUAAUGACGGUACCGUAAGAAGAAGCACCGGCUAACUACGUGCCAGCCGCCGCCGUAACAC